UUUUACAUAUUUUGAAACAAAGUUGAAUGAGAGCCAGUUUAAGUCUGGAGAUUUUUGUUUCGUUUUGAGUAAAAAGUAGGUGUGUCUCUGCACGUCUUUCUAUAUAAACAGAGAAAAAUGUACAUGACAACAGAACUUCCACUUAUUCACUCCGAAGAACACUUUGAGUUGACCCAGUUUGGCACAGCACAGAAUCCUCCAGAACCUGAACCGCAGAGUCCAGAGAACAAUCAUAUAAGGUUUGACUGCAGGAAGAUUUACAGCAAAGAAGAAUCAAGACUGACAACCAAGAUGUGCUUGUCACUGAUAACUGUCCUGAUUGUUGUGGUUCUGAUUCUCUUGUUACUCUGGAAAAACAUUAUCACUCUGAACGACUUACUCAAAACAGGAAAGAGAGUUUCAGAUGUAGUCAUCCCAGCAUUAGAUAAUCCUAAAAUAUCAGGAGCCAUAACACUGACAGCCACUGCGAUUUUCAUUUUGUCAAGCCCUCUAACAACAACUCUGUUGGUUCUCGUUGCUGCAACACUUUGGCUGCAUUGGCUCAACAUCCUUCCACUAAGAGAUUUAAUUGCAUUAGGUUCCGAUGUCUACCAGUCAGUAACCACAAGACAAAAUAAGACCUGCACUGAUUAAAAGCCUGGAGCUAAACGACUGGCUGAUGUUAAAGGUAAAAGCACAUCACAAACUGGCUGAUUCCCACUUUACAAAAUUCCAUUAGCCCUGAGCCCAAAGCCCCCCCCCCAUCACUCCAGAAUACAUCCACAUGCUCAUGAAAGGAGAGGAACAGGAGGCCAAACAAUGCCAGUAGGAAAGACUUCAAUUUUUGGAGAAAAUUAAAAAAAAGGCAAAAUCAUCAUAUUUUCAUAUGAUAUAUUGAUUUCAUUUUUAAAUUAUUUACUUGUUUUACUCAACUUGUAAUGCUAAUGGUAUUGUAUUAUCACAUCCCCAAUCUUCAGUAAUAUGUACAAUUCUGCAAAGCUAGUUCUAAUUGAUCACUUUAAAAUCCCCCCACUGUUACUGAUCCAUCACAAGUUACAAUCACCUUAAUGUUACAGCCUGCCUGUAUGCUAUCAUCUCUGAAUAUCUAAAUGCACAUUGCUGUAAAGCCUGAUGAUAUGAAGCCUCAUAUCAAAGUUCAAGAAGCAUCUUAUUAACAUUUUAACUGUAAUCUGUGACUCUCCUGAAUGCUAAUGCCUGUUUGUCAGUUUUUGCCUUCAUUAUGUGUAAUGUGAACUGGAGUGCCCAGAGAGAAAUGUCACCAUGCGAAACAACAAAAUACAUUUGACUUUGAUA